CUCCCCGGUAAGUUGUAAAAAAAAAAAAUGUUUAUUGAGCGGCUUCAGUAACGUGCAGUAACGGGGUGUCGGUAAUGGUAAUGGAGUUAUAGUGACAGUCAGAGUAAUUAGUUAGAUUAAUCGUUACUGAAAAAAGUAACGGCGUUAGUAACUU